rnacentral:rRNA from 1 species
UACGUAGGGCGCAAGCGUUGUCCGGAAUUAUUGGGCGUAAAGAGCUCGUAGGCGGUCUGUCACGUCUGCCGUGAAAACCCGAGGCUUAACCUCGUGGCUUGCGGUGGAUACGGGCAGACUAGAGGUAGGUAGGGGAGAACGGAAUUCCCGGUGUAGCGGUGAAAUGCGCAGAUAUCGGGAGGAACACCGGUGGCGAAGGCGGUUCUCUGGGCCUUACCUGACGCUGAGGAGCGAAAGCAUGGGGAGCGAACAG